rnacentral:piRNA from 1 species
UGGGACUUUGGGUUCUGAGCCCUUGUGGU